rnacentral:rRNA from 1 species
UACAGAGGGUGCAAGCGUUAAUCGGAGUUACUGGGCGUAAAGAGCUCGUAGGCGGUUUGUCGCGUCUGCUGUGAAAUCCCAGGGCUUAACCCUGGGCCUGCAGUGGGUACGGGCAAACUAGAGUGCGGUAGGGGAGAUCGGAAUUCCUGGUGUAGCGGUGAAAUGCGCAGAUAUCAGGAGGAACACCGGUGGCGAAGGCGGAUCUCUGGGCCGUAACUGACGCUGAGGAGCGAAAGCAUGGGUAGCGAACAGG